CACGUAGGCACCAAGCGUUGUCCGGAUUUAUUGGGCGUAAAGAGCUCGUAGGCGGUUCGGUAAGUCGGGUGUGAAAACUUUGGGCUCAACCCAAAGCCUGCACUCGAUACUGCUGUGACUUGAGUCCGGUAGGGGAGUGGGUAAUUCCUGGUGUAGCGGUGGAAUGCGCAGAUAUCAGGAGGAACACCGGUGGCGAAGGCGCCACUCUGGGCCGGUACUGACGCUGAGGAGCGAAAGCGUGGGGAGCGAACAGG
rnacentral:rRNA from 1 species